UUCUUGCACAAAAAAUAAAACAACCCAAAAUAAACUCACGGCAGGCUGGCAUCAUCUUCUUAGUGUUAAGGGUUGUUGAGAAAAAGAAAGGAAAACACAGACCAGUGAGCAUAGAGAAGGCCGUGAAAACGAAGGGAAACAGGAGACAAACACAGGAGAAAAAAAAAAUAGCGACGGGAAUC